UAAAUCAGCACUUUGUAAAGCUGCUUUGAGACAAACAUCCUUUAUAAGAAGCUCAGUAGUGAUAAAGUACAACAGCACUAAAAACUGUACAUGUUUUACCUUGAUAUGUUCAUUAAAAUCUACCCUCUGCUGACCUUGCUUUUUAACAAAAUGUUUUAGUCUGUUUGCUGAAAUAAAAAGUAGGCUAUAUGUGCACUCACAAUACAUACUAGUGUGCACAAUUUAGCCUUGGAUAGGAAAUAAAACUUACAGGGUCAUUUACAGCGUUUUCCAAAUGUACAUCAAAACCAAUGGCAAGAGUUUGGGCUGGGACCACAUAUUUGUCAUUAAAUGCUCAAUUCAGUUUGGUGGCGCUAAAGAUGCAGAAAUUGCACUUCACCUUUAGAGAUGCUUUGUCUGAAAUCACUCAUUUAUUCACUAAUAGCACAUGGCAACUCAGUGCACUAUGAAGUGAGUGAAUUCGGGAGCUGAUGUUUUGUGGGUCGGAGAGAUUUACUCUUUUCUUAAAUGGGCUACUUUACUAUAAAAAAUAUUAAUAAUAAUCAAAGUUGGAUUGACAUGCUUAAUUUGUGUUCACAAUAGUUAAAAUAAUCACAAUUCACAAAGUGCACCACAAGAGGGCACCGACUCCCUACUGUCUCCCUACUUGAGCUUUUGAUAUAUAAGAGGUCAUUGUACUAUAAAAAUAUCCUGCAAGAACUGAAAACUUCCUUGUUAGUCCAAUAAAAGCCUUCAUUGACACCAGACCAGCGAAAGACUGAUCCUGGAAUGUGCCUAUCUAUGACAGAUAGGUGAAACGCGGGGUCCGCAGAAGAAAUCAACGCCUACUUCAUUGCAAGGCUUUGCGAACAGACUUUUAUGAUAUGGACUCGACAGUAAUGCAACAACAUACUGUCUUCUGCAUCUGUGAAUACAGGUGAUAACAGAUAUGCAUGGGAUUUUAGCCACCUGUUACCAAAGAAAGAAUUUUGCGUUGGCGAUUACAUUAUAAAGGAGGCUAGGAUCAAAAAACAUGCACACAACACCUAAUACAAGCAAG